GUUUUACCUUGACGAAUUGUAGUUUAAAGAAGUGUUUUCUGUUGAAGUUUUGGUAGAAGUUCUUUGGAAUAGGACAUCAUAGAGGGUGAGAAUCCCGUAUUUGACCAUUAUUUUCAGCUGUGUGAUACACUUUCAAAGAGUCGGAUUGUUUGGGAAUGCAGUCCAAAAUGGGUGGUAAAUUUCAUCUAAAGCUAAAUAUUGGCGAGAGACCGAUAGCGAACAAGUACCGUGAGGGAAAGAUGAAAAGAACUUUGAAAAGAGAGUUAAACAGUACGUGAAAUUGUCAAAAGGGAAGCGUUUGACACCAGUGUUGUUUUCUCGAAAAUCAAUUAAAAAAAGUUGGAUUUUGUGUUGUAUUGACCUUAACAGCUUUCUGCACUCUUUUCCUGCUUUUUUU
rnacentral:rRNA from 1 species